UUCCGGUUGAUCCUGCCGGACCCGACUGCUAUCAGAGUGGGACUAAGCCAUGCGAGUCAACAUAGCAAUAUGUGGCAUACGGCUCAGUAACACGUAGUCAACAUGCCCAGGGGACGUGGAUAACCUCGGGAAACUGAGGAUAAACCGCGAUAAGUCACUACUUCUGGAAUGGGUAAUGACUCAAAUCUACAUGGCCCCUGGAUUGGACUGCGGCCGAUCAGGCUGUUGGUGAGGUAAUGGCCCACCAAACCUGUAACCGGUACGGGCUCUGAGAGGAGGAGCCCGGAGAUGGGCACUGAGACAAGGGCCCAGGCCCUAUGGGGCGCAGCAGGCGCGAAACCUCUGCAAUAGGCGAAAGCCUGACAGGGUUACUCUGAGUGAUUUCCGUUAAGGAGAUCUUUUGGCACCUCUAAAAAUGGUGCAGAAUAAGGGGUGGGCAAGUCUGGUGUCAGCCGCCGCGGUAAUACCAGCACCCCGAGUGGUCGGGACGUUUAUUGGGCCUAAAGCAUCCGUAGCCGGUUCUACAAGUCUCCCGUUAAAUCCACCUGCUUAACAGAUGGGCUGCGGAAGAUACUAUAGAGCUAGGAGGCGGGAGAGGCAAGCGGUACUCGAUGGGUAGGGGUAAAAUCCGUUGAUCCAUUGAAGACCACCAGUGGCGAAGGCGGCUUGCCAGAACGCGCUCGAUGGUGAGGGAUGAAAGCUGGGGGAGCAAACCGGAUUAGAUACCCGGGUAGUCCCAG
rnacentral:rRNA from 1 species